CGGCACCCGGACAAGGAAUUCACCGUCCAGAUCAAAGACGAGGAGGGGCUCAAACUGACCUUCCAGAAGCACCGGUUGGGUCCCAACGGGGCCUCGCGGGCGCCGCCGCCCCCCAAGAAGAACAGCAAGAAACUCGUCGAGCUGGAGCUUCGGUGCCUGGAGGGGCUUCGGGACCCAGGGGGGGACCCCGAGAGGGACCCCCAGAACUGUGGCCCCGCCCCGCCCCCGACCCCCCCAGAGCUCGGCGCCGACCCCCGACUGCUCCAGUUCGUGGAUCCUCAGCGGGAAAAGUGGCACCGGAAAAAGUUCCUCCCCCCCAGGUUUGGACCUUUCCAAGAUGGCGGCGCUGAUGGGGGGCGGGGCCUCGUCCGAGAGGGGCGGGGCCUC